UGACACGCGCCACCAGGCUCCGCGCUCAUGGCCUGGCCUGGCAUCUCACCAGGCUUUUCAAUGGACUAGAGUGCGGGGCUGCUCUGCCUGUGGCAAGGGUUGUCCUGCUGCUGGGCACAGGCCCAGAGAGGAAGUGGCAGAAGCUGGGCAUGGGAUGCUGGUCCUUGAAGGAGUGUGUGGGGGCCACUGGGUUGAACGCAGCCCGCUGCAGCCCUGUGACCUUGAUUAAAAGACUACUUUUUAGAGCAGUUUUCAUUUUACCGAUACAUCGAUCAGAGAGUACGGAGCUUCCCACAUUGCCUCCCGCACCCCAUAGCAGGCAGAGGCACCAGCCAGGCGCCAUCCUUUACAAGCUGUUUCAGCAAAAUGUCCCUGGGAAGGAAAUGACCGCAGAAGGGAGUGCACCGUGGGGGCAGGAGGUGCUGCGGCCAAUGGGCAGUGCUGGGAGAUGAAACCAACAGCGGCGAUUGCCCCAGAAAGAACUUGGCGCUGCUAAGGCAAUGGCGGCCCGAAAGAGGCCCCUGA
ensembl:lncRNA LINC00313 long intergenic non-protein coding RNA 313